rnacentral:rRNA from 1 species
CACGUAGGGUGCGAGCGUUGUCCGGAAUUAUUGGGCGUAAAGAGCUCGUAGGCGGUGUGUCGCGUCGGCCGUGAAAACCUGCAGCUUAACUGUGGGCUUGCGGUCGAUACGGGCAUCACUGGAGUUCGGCAGGGGAGACUGGAAUUCCUGGUGUAGCGGUGAAAUGCGCAGAUAUCAGGAGGAACACCGGGUGGCGAAGGCGGUUCUCUGGGCAUUAACUG